rnacentral:rRNA from 1 species
GGUAGAGCAUGUGGUUUAAUUCGAUGAUACGCGAAAACCUUAACCCGGGCUUGACAUGCAUCAGACAGGCGUAGAGAUACGCCCUCCGCGAGGCUGGUGCACAGGUGCUGCAUGGUUGUCGUCAGCUCGUGUCGUGAGAUGUUGGGUUAAGUCCCGCAACGAGCGCAACCCCUACCGUGUGUUACCAUCAUUAAGUUGGGGACUCGCACGGAACUGCCGGUGAUAAACCGGAGGAAGGUGGGGAUGACGUCAAGUCAGCAUGACCUUUAUAUCCAGGGCUACACACACGCUACAAUGGACAGUACAACAGGUUGCCAAGCCGCGAGGCGGAGCCAAUCCUCUAAAGCUGUCCUCAGUUCAGAUUGCAGGCUGCAACUCGCCUGCAUGAAGUUGGAGUUGCUAGUAACCGCAGGUCAGCUAUACUGCGGUGAAUACGUUCCCGGGGAUU